CGAGUGUAAGCCAAUUCCAUAUACUCAUUUCUUCUAUACAUAUACUUGUAACUAUAUCCAUUCUUGCAAAACAACGAGAUGCGCUUCUCUCCCUGUCGAGGCCCUCGUGCAAAAUAAGGAUUGGAUCGCAUCUUGGGUGUUACACGUGUAGUGCAAGUCCUCAAAUUAGGGUGAAUGUAUUGCCCCACGGACUUUAUUUGGAACCUACCAUGUAUAAGACUUCCCAAAACCACCAAAUAUUAUUUGUAAAUAUUAC
rnacentral:lncRNA from 1 species